rnacentral:rRNA from 1 species
AACGAACGCUGGCGGCAUGCCUAACACAUGCAAGUCGAACGAACCCUUCGGGGUUAGUGGCGCACGGGUGCGUAACGCGUGGGAAUCUGCCCUUUGCUUCGGAAUAACAGUUAGAAAUGACUGCUAAUACCGGAUGAUGUCUUCGGACCAAAGAUUUAUCGGCAAAGGAUGAGCCCGCGUAGGAUUAGGUAGUUGGUGGGGUAAAGGCCUACCAAGCCGACGAUCCUUAGCUGGUCUGAGAGGAUGAUCAGCCACACUGGGACUGAGACACGGCCCAGACUCCUACGGGAGGCAGCAGUGGGGAAUAUUGGACAAUGGGCGCAAGCCUGAUCCAGCAAUGCCGCGUGAGUGAUGAAGGCCUUCGGGUCGUAAAGCUCUUUUACCAGG